rnacentral:rRNA from 1 species
GACGAACGCUGGCGGCGUGCUUAACACAUGCAAGUCGAACGGAAAGGCCCUGCUUGCAGGGUACUCGAGUGGCGAACGGGUGAGUAACACGUGGGUGAUCUGCCCUGCACUUCGGGAUAAGCCUGGGAAACUGGGUCUAAUACCGGAUAGGAGCCAUUUUUAGUGUGAUGGUUGGAAAGUUUUUUCGGUGUAGGAUGAGCUCGCGGCCUAUCAGCUUGUUGGUGGGGUAAUGGCCUACCAAGGCGGCGACGGGUAGCCGGCCUGAGAGGGUGGACGGCCACAUUGGGACUGAGGGACGGCCCAGGCUCCGACGGGAGGCAGCAGUGGGGAAGAUUGAACAAGGGGCGCAAGCCUGAUGCAGCGACGCCGCGGGGGGGAUGACGGCCUUCGGGUUGAAAACUCCAUUCGCUAGGGACGAAGCUUUUUGUGACGGUACCUAGAUAAGAAGCACCGGCUAACUACGUG